rnacentral:rRNA from 1 species
AUUGAACGCUGGCGGCAGGCCUAACACAUGCAAGUCGAGCGGAGCGGCGGACGGGUGAGUAAUGCCUAGGAAUCUGCCUGGUAGUGGGGGAUAACGUCCGGAAACGGGCGCUAAUCCCGCAUACUAUCAGAUGAGCCUAGGUCGGAUUAGCUAGUUGGUAGGGUAAAGGCCUACCAAGGCGACGAUCCGUAACUGGUCUGCGAGGAUGAUCAGUCACACUGGAACUGAGACACGGGCCAGCAUCCUACGGGAGGGAGCAGUGGGGAAUGUUGGGCAAUGGGCGAAAGCCUGAUGCAGCCAUGCCGCGUGUGUGAAGAAGGUCUUCGGAUUGUAAAGCACUUUAAGUUGGGAGGCGUUACCAACAGAGUAAGCACCGGCUAACUGCGUGCCAGCAGCCGCGGUAAUUC